GAUGAACGCUGGCGGCGUGCCUAAUACAUGCAAGUAGAACGCUGAAGGAAGGAGCUUGCUCUUUCCGGAUGAGUUGCGAACGGGUGAGUAACGCGUAGGUAACCUGCCUGGUAGCGGGGGAUAACUAUUGGAAACGAUAGCUAAUACCGCAUAACAGUAGAUAUUGCAUGAUAUCUGCUUGAAAGGGGCAAUUGCUCCACUACCAGAUGGACCUGCGUUGUAUUAGCUAGUUGGUGAGGUAACGGCUCACCAAGGCGACGAUACAUAGCCGACCUGAGAGGGUGAUCGGCCACACUGGGACUGAGACACGGCCCAGACUCCUACGGGAGGCAGCAGUAGGGAAUCUUCGGCAAUGGACGGAAGUCUGACCGAGCAACGCCGCGUGAGUGAAGAAGGUUUUCGGAUCGUAAAGCUCUGUUGUAAGAGAAGAACGAGUGUGAGAGUGGAAAGUUCACACUGUGACGGUAUCUACCAGA
rnacentral:rRNA from 1 species